ensembl:processed_transcript Ptpmt1 protein tyrosine phosphatase, mitochondrial 1
CACCGCAUCGACCACACGGUUCUGCUGGGCGCGCUGCCGCUGAAGAACAUGACGCGCCGGGUGAGAGACCGCCGGGCCGGGCCGGGCCGGGCCGGGAGCGGGCCCAGGGCCUCUGCGGGCGCCCCGCGGCCCUCGCUGAGCCUCCUCUUUGCCUCGGCAGCUGGUACUGGACGAGAACGUGCGCGGGGUGAUCACUAUGAACGAGGAGUACGAGACCCGAUUCCUGUGCAACACCUCGAAGGAAUGGAAGAAAGCAGGAGUUGAGCAGCUACGGCUCAGCACAGUCGACAUGACUGGGGUCCCAACCUUGGCCAAUCUCCACAAAGGAGUCCAGUUUGCUCUCAAGUACCAGGCACUGGGCCAGUGUGUCUAUGUGCAU